rnacentral:rRNA from 1 species
CCUACGGGCGGCAGCAGUGAGGAAUCUUGGUCAAUGGCCGGAAGGCUGAACCAGCCAAGCCGCGUGAAGGACGAAGGUGCCAAGCAUUGUAAACUUCUUUUGUCAAGGGACAAAAUCAGGCUCGAGAGCCUGACCGAGGGUACUUGAAGAAAAAGCAUCGGCUAACUCCGUGCCAGCAGCCGCGGUAAUACGGAGGAUGCGAGCGUUAUCCGGAUUUAUUGGGUUUAAAGGGUGCGUAGGCGGACUGUUAAGUCAGCGGUAAAAGCCCGGGGCUCAACCCCGGCGAGCCGUUGAAACUGGCGGUCUUGAGAUGUCGAGAGGUAUGCGGAAUGCGCAGUGUAGCGGUGAAAUGCGUAGAGAUUGCGCAGAACUCCGAUUGCGAAGGCAGCAUACCGGCGGCGAUCUGACGCUGAGGCACGAAAGCGUGGGUAUCGAACAGGAUUAGAUACCCAAGUAGUC